rnacentral:rRNA from 1 species
GACGAACGCUGGCGGCGUGCUUAACACAUGCAAGUCGAACGGAAAGGCCCUGCUUUUGUGGGGUGCUCGAGCGGCGAACGGGUGAGUAACACGUGAGUAACCUGCCCUUGACUUUGGGAUAACUUCAGGAAACUGGGGCUAAUACCGGAUAGGAGCUCCUGCUGCAUGGUGGGGGUUGGAAAGUUUCGGCGGUUGGGGACGGACUCGCGGCUUAUCAGCUUGUUGGUGGGGUAGUGGCUUACCAAGGCUUUGACGGGUAGCCGGCCUGAGAGGGUGACCGGCCACAUUGGGACUGAGAUACGGACCAGACUCCUACGGGAGGCAGCAGUGGGGAAUAUUGCACAAUGGGCGGAAGCCUGAUGCAGCAACGCCGCGUGCGGGAUGACGGCCUUCGGGUUGUAAACCGCUUUCGCCUGUGACGAAGCGUGAGUGACGGUAAUGGGUAAAGAAGCACCGGCUAACUACGUG